rnacentral:tRNA from 1 species
GGAAGGGUCGCAUAGUGGUCUAGUGCGGCGGUCUUGAAAACCGCUAUACCUGCAAAGGUAUCGAGGGUUCGAAUCCCUCCCCUUCCGCCA